CCCCCCCAACGAACAGAAACACUAAACAGUGAUAAGACUGAUAAGAAGUAUAUUCCUCCUUCGUUAAUCGUGAUUUUAUAGUUUGUCAAUCAUACUUAAAAGUAUUAAAAAAUGGUUGCUAAUAAUUUGAAAGAAGAACGAAGAGCUGAACCUCAGACCUCAGUUCAUGCGGAUUGAAAGAAAUAUGUAUAUACUCUAAAAGAAAUCGCUGGUAACAUGUCAUUUUAUUAAAUCUAUCUAACAACAAAAUAGCCUUGAUUCGGUGAGUAAUCUAAGGGUUACUUCAGUCUAUGCGCUCAAAUAGUUACUUAUCAUUGGAAAUAGAACUAAUCUGGAGAAAGAUAGAACCGUACCUUUAGAAUUAGCUGAACAGUAAUAGAUACCUACGCCAAACAAGUUGGCUCAAAUCGCAAAACAUUAUCACUCGUGUCAGCAAGACUGAACUGUGGUAUAGAAGAAUAUUAUUCUUAGAAUUGACUCAGCUCAUGUUACAAUUUUACAAAAAGCCGAAAAGCAAAGUAAACCUGAAAGAAAACGCUCUCAGUAGCUAAAACGUAACGUUCAAAUAGUCAAACAACGAAGAAGAAAAUAAUUCAUCACAGUGUAGAAAAUUCUGCGGUGGUCCAUCGCAUUGAUAUCAAAUAAGUAUUUAUUGUAUGUUUUAUUAUUAUCAAUGUACCUAAGUACUUUACUUGGUAAUCUGUUAAUCCUUUAUUACAAAUUAAAUUUGCAUCGUGUUAGAAUAGCUAUAGACACAAUGCAAUCUAUAGAUUUCGGAUGUGCUCAUUGAGUUGUCUCAUCAUUGAUCGAGUUGUAAUAUGUAGGAGUAAUUUAUCGUUGUACGUGCAUUGUUUAAAUUUUCUAUUUCCUAUUUUUAUGUUGUGCUUUUCCGCGAUUUUAAUUUUAUGUCAACGAUUUUUUAAAUUACAAGUAUAAGGUGAGUUGUUUAUUUUCAGACUCAUUCUGUUCUAUAUGCAGUUACCAUAAUACAUGAUCUUGUGCGUUUCUAUUAGUUACUUCGGUAUUGAUUUUUUCCAUCAAUAAUAUGCGUCGAUGGUUUGGUACCUAUCAAUCGCGCGUAGAGUACAACAUUCAGAUAAUUUUACCGAUUAGUUAUUCGUCUCUGUUUGAAGAUGAAUUUACCGAACGAGUUUUGAAUGCACGUUAUUAUAGUAUGUACCUAGGCUGAACUAUGCACUACACUUCACAGAAGUGUCCUCUUUUUAAUGUGACUGAAGUUUUGGAAAUUCUUUGAAAUUUCUUUCAUAAAUUUUGAAGGGAUUAAUCCUCUAAUUAGUAUGAAUUAUUUUUAUUCUUCAAGUUAACUCUCCCUAACUUAGGUACUUUAAAAUCGAUUACUUCUGCAACUUUGAUAGGUAUUUCAUUAUAACUAUUUGGCGAGAGAAUAAAUUUUUCUUUGCAGAGGUCAACAUCUUUAAUAAUUUUUGAUAUUCUCCAUUUUCGAUUAAGGGACCCAAAAGCUAGGUAAAUAUAACGAAUGAUAGGCCUAUCUCUUACGAUCAUUAUAGUUUUAAGGGUUCAAUUUAUGCAGAACCGUUUUAGUUUUGCACGUUUCA